UGGGCCAGUGAUGAUCAGGAAAAAAAGAGCCCUGAGCAGUGAAAAGAUGUCUGAAACUCUGAGGUCCAA
ensembl:snoRNA